GAUACCCGCUGAACUUAAGCAUAUCAAUAAGCGGAGGAAAAGAAACCAACCGGGAUUGCCUCAGUAACGGCGAGUGAAGCGGCAAGAGCUCAAAUUUGAAAUCUGGCCCCCUCGGGGUCCGAGUUGUAAUUUGCAGAGGAUGCUUCGGGUGCGGCCCCCGUCUAAGUGCCCUGGAACGGGCCGUCAUAGAGGGUGAGAAUCCCGUCUGGGACGGGGUGUCCGUGCCCGUGUGAAGCUCCUUCGACGAGUCGAGUUGUUUGGGAAUGCAGCUCUAAAUGGGUGGUAAAUUUCAUCUAAAGCUAAAUACUGGCCGGAGACCGAUAGCGCACAAGUAGAGUGAUCGAAAGAUGAAAAGCACUUUGAAAAGAGAGUUAAAUAGCACGUGAAAUUGUUGAAAGGGAAGCGCUUGCGACCAGACUCGCCCGCGGGGUUCAGCCGGCAUUCGUGCCGGUGUACUUCCCCGUGGGCGGGCCAGCGUCGGUUUGGGCGGCCGGUCAAAGGCCCCCGGAAUGUAGUGCCCUUCGGGGCACCUUAUAGCCGGGGGUGCAAUGCGGCCAGCCUGGACCGAGGAACGCGCUUCGGCACGGACGCUGGCAUAAUGGUUGCAAACGACC
rnacentral:rRNA from 1 species